GACGAACGCUGGCGGCGUGCCUAAUACAUGCAAGUAGAACGCAGUUGCGAACGGGUGAGUAACGCGUAGGUAACUGCCUCAUAGCGGGGGAUAACUAUUGGAAACGAUAGCUAAUACCGCAUACUUUGAGAUGGACCUGCGUGGUAUUAGCUAGUUGGUGAGGUAAAGGCUCACCAAGGCGACGAUACAUAGCCGGACUGAUAGGGGGGUCGGGCACAACGGGAAGGGGACAAGGCCCAGACUCCUACGGGAGGCAGCAGUAGGGAAACUUCGGCAAUGGGCGGAAAUCUGGCCGGACAACGGCGGGUGAGGGGAGGAGGGUUUCGGAUCGUAAAGCUCUGUUGUUAGAGGAUCGGUAACUAACCAGAAAGGGACGGCUAACUACGUGCCAGCAGCCGCGGUAAUAC
rnacentral:rRNA from 1 species